rnacentral:rRNA from 1 species
GACGAACGCUGGCGGCGUGCCUAAUACAUGCGAGUCGAACGAGAGCACCCUGUGCUUGCACUGGUCAAUCUAGUGGCGAACGGGGGAGUAACACGUGGGUAACCUGCCCAUCAGAGGGGGAUAACAUCCGGAAACGGAUGCUAAAACCGCAUAGGUCUUCGAACCGCAUGGUUGGAAGAGGAAAAGAGGCGCAAGCUUCUGCUGAUGGAUGGACCCGCGGUGCAUUAGCUAGUUGGUGAGGUAAAGGCUCACCAAGGCCGUGAGCCAUAGCGGGCCUGAGAGGGUGAUCGGCCACAUUGGAACUGAGACACGGCCCAUACUCCUGCGGGAGGCAGCAGUAGGGAAUCUUCCGCAAUGGACGCAAGUCUGACGCAGCAAGGCCGCGUGAGUGAAGAAGGUUUUCGGAUCGUAAAGCUCUGUUGUUGGUGAAGAACAACUGCUGGAGUAACUGUUAGCGCCUUGACGGUAUCUAACCAGAAAGCAACGGCUAACUACGUG